rnacentral:lncRNA from 1 species
AGAUUAAAUCAAGCACAAGAGAAAAUGAUGCAAUCAAGAGACACAGGAAACUUGAGAUAUAUAAUGCUGCUGCCAGUUUAACACAGCAUCCUGUUUUCCUAAACUUUUUUUAUUCUAGAAGCUACCCACAUUCUUCAGCUCAUGGCCUCUUUCCUCCAUCUCUAGCCAGCAAGGUUCUGGGGAUUGUGACAUGGACAUCUUUCAGGGGACAUUAUUCUGCACCAUACCCAAUGAAAAUAUCCUUCAGGAAUGAAGGGAAAAUCGAGACAUUCCCAAUGAAGGAAAACUAAGAGAAUUUGUCACCAGCAGACCUACCCUAAAUGAAUGGC